rnacentral:lncRNA from 1 species
CGGGAGUAUUACCCUACAAACUUUUUCAUUCUCUGUAUAUCUCAUCUUCUCUCUCUUAUUCUCUCGUCAGGACAAAACCCAACUACCUCCAUCUACAUUUUUUCCGGCAGCCUCCAUCACCAUUUUUUCCGGCCACCGUUACUCCGUUAUGAACAUUUAUCAAAUCUGAAACUACCACAACAACCACCACUAAAAACCACCACAUACGUCAUAGCUAUCACCAUCUACAAAGUUGUCUUGACCUGCACCACACAACCUAUUCUUCGCCACUUUCUGUUAUCGUUUGUCUCUCGAUAUCUACAGGCGUCACCUUCUGUUUGUCGCACUAGAUUGGCUUCCAGUCAACGUACCAGAUCCACAUCUGUAGCCUUCAAAUCUGAGAAAUUCUUACCUCCGAUGGUUAGAUCAUGAAGCCAUCGUUUCCGUUCAUGAUUCUGUUGACUUUACAUUGUGUAUUUCUCACAUCUGGUUAGAUCUAAGUGAUUCCGGUGGUUUUUUGGUGUCUCCAAUGGUGUUGUAGUCCAGAUCUGCCUAUAUCUAGUUUGAUCUCUGUGGUCGCCAUUGUUUCUUUGCGAGAUUGGCUAAGUUCGACUGUUUUUGUUCAAAAUGUGAUGGAUAUUGUGUUAAUGAACUCCAGCAAGGACAACUCGGCUAUUUGAGUAUGUUUGAUAUUUUCCUGUGAACUCAAAUGGAGGUAUGGUCACAUAAUUCUAUUUUGCCUUGGUAAAAGAGAAGUAUUGGAUUAAUUGAUUUAUUCUAAAAGCUGUAAAGAAAAAAAAGAACAACAUAAAUGAUGGUGUUUCAUUUCUCGAGGAAUUCUUCCAUACAUAUUAAUUACUUAGAAUAUUAGUUAAUGUAGGUGAAAUAGAUGUUUUUGUGAUUAAUUCUCAAUAAUGGUUAUAUUACUUUGUGCUAGUGUAUAUGUACAUAUAAUAAAAUAAAAUUUUAUCAUAUACGAUAUAUUUGUGUGUUAAGUAAAUUUUGUUACGUUGAUAAACGAAGCUAACAUGUGUGUAUGAUUUUUUUUUUAUAUUUAUACAGUGAGGUUAGGUGUUAAUCGAAUUGUAUAAUUAGAACAAAUGUAGAUAUAUACAAUUAAAUAUUAGUAUUAAUUAGACCGACGAGACAAAUUUUUAAUACAUAAAUAAUAUCAAAUUUUUUGGAUUAAUGUAUGAAAACUAAUAUAUGAAUUGUAUUAAGUUUUAUUAAAUUGUGAAUAAAUUAUGUCUUAAGCUGUGAAUUGGUUAUAAAAUUUAUUUAAAAUAUGAAUAAUUUAUGUAUGAAUGUUUGUAUUAAUUUUCUUGUAAACAUACAUAUUUGUUGUAUUAUGUUGUGAAUUGAAUUUAGAAUGUGAUAUAUUAUGUUAAUGUUUUUUAAAAUAAUAUGAAUUUUUGUUGUAUUAUGUUGUGAAUUGAAUUUAGAAUGUGAUAUAUUAUGUUAAUGUUUUUUCAAAUAAUAUGAAUUUUUAAAACUGUGAAUUGUGAUGUUUUAAUGUUUCAACUAUUGUUUAGUUUUUUUUAAUGUUAGUUUUAACUCUUAUUAAUAACAAUAUAAGUUUUAAGCCAUGAAUACAUAAGUUUUUAUAUGUUUUAAGCUUUGAAUUAGUGUCUGAACAAGUCUAUUACGAUGAGAAUAUAGUUGUUAAUGUACAAUUUAUGUAUUAAAUCGUAAAUUUAUUAUAUUAAGUUGUAUAUUUUGUGUAUUAAACUGUGAAUUGAAUAUAUUAAGUUGUAAAUUAACCAUAUUAAACUAUGAACUUUGGGUAUUAAACUGUGAAUUUAUUAUAUUAUGCUAUGAAUUUUGUGCAUUAAGCUAUGAAUUGACUAUAUUAAGUUGUGAAUUCUUUUAUGAAUUUGGUGUGUUUUUAUUUUAUUUUAUUUUUUAUUUUUUGAAUUUUAUGUUUUCUUUGAAAUAUGAGAUGAAAAAAUCAGUAUAAACAAUUAUGAUUUUUUUUUUCUAAUUUUGAAUAAAGUAUGUGAAAUUUAAACUUUAAGUUUUUAGUUAAGAAUAUGGUUGUGAAGUAUAAUAAUUUUGUGUAUUAAAUUGUGAACCGACUAUAUUAAGUUGUUAUUAUUAUUUUUUUUGUUAAAAUAUGAAUGCUUUAUUAAACUAUGAAUUCUAUUUUUUUAUCAAGAUUUGAAUUUUAUACCUAUAAAAUAGUUGUGAACAUAGUGUAUUAAACUGUGAAUAGGUGUUUUUAUGCAUUAAAUUGUGAAUAUGUAAGUUAAGUUAUGCAUGUGUUUUUGUUUAUGCACUAACUUGUGAAUUAGUGUCUGAAAUAUUGAAUUAAGUUUUGAAUUAGUGUCUGAAAUAUUAAAUUAAGUUGUGAAUUAGUAUCUGAAAUAAUGAAUUAAACUGCGAAUUUUGUUUUUUAAUCCUUUUUUGAUUUUUUAGGGAAUGAUGUUGUUGGUGUUGACAUUGAUGCUUUGUGGUGACGAUGGUUGAUGACAACGUAUGGUAGACUGGUACUUGGCAGUGUUAAUGGUGGCGAUAGUGGAAGAGUAAUGAUAUUUUCUAUUUCUCACUCAUCAUCUUUGUUGAUUUCAGAUAAGUUAUCCUUUUUUAAGAUUCAAGUAUAUAUUUUUCUUUUGAUGUUUUCUUAUGAAGUAUGAGAUAACUUAUGUAUGUAUUAAAAUAUAAAUGAGUUUUUCAUACACUGAAAUAUGAGAUUAUACUUGUAAAUAAGUUGUGAAUAUAUUGUAUUAAACUGUGAAUUUGCUGUGUUAAGCUGUAAAUUUGCUCACAGCUUAGUAUAAUAAAUUCACAAUUUAAUAGAUAAAAAUGUCUCUAAAUAUGAACAUAUAACUGUUAGUAUUAAGUUAAAAAAAUAUAGCCGUGCAUAUAUAUUUUUUGUGUAUCAAACUAUGAAUUACUGUAUUAAGUUGUGAAUUUUAUGUAUUAAACUGUGAAAUGAUUGUAUUAAGCUGUGAAUUGACUGUAUUAAGAUUUGAAAUUUUUAUGAAUUUUGUAUUUGCUUCUGAAAUAUGAGAAGAAAGAAUCAUUAUACAUAUAUAUGAUUUUCUCUAAUUUUAACAAAAUUAUAUAAAAUUUAAAUUGUGAAUAUUAUGUACAUUAAAUUUUGAAAAACACCAACCGUUAGAUCUAAAUGUAUAAAUGUAUGUUUUUAAGUUAAGAAUAUGAUAUUUUUAUGUAUUAAAGUUUUAAUUUUUUAUAUUAAGAUUUAAAUUUUAUAUAUUAAACGAUAAUUGAGUAUAUUAAAUGAUGAAUUGACUACAUGUUGCUGUGAUUUUUUUUAAUAAUUUUUUUAAUAAAAUAUGAAUGAUUUAUGUAAAAAAAAUUGUAUUAAUUUCUUGUAAAUAUAUUUAUUUUUAAUUUUAUAUAAGUAUGUAAGAAUGCCUUAGCUUUUAUAAUUAUUUUGCAUUAAAUUCAAAAUGGAUGAAUAAACUAGUUUAUUAAACUAUGAAUGUAGUAUUUAACAUGUCAUUGUCUGACUUUAUAUGCAUAUCUCAUUUGGAAGAAAGAGAUGUUGCAAUGUUGACACAAGUGGUUGGUGGCGGCAUUUGGUGGUGGUAAAGUUUGGGUUUGAUUUCUAUGAAUUUGAGAAUUAGUGUAAAAUAAGUUCUGUUAAGUUGUGAAUUUUAUGUAUUAAACUGUAAAUGGACUGUAUAAAGUUGUAUUUUAUAAAAGUUUUGUGUUAAAAUAUAAAUGAAUGCAUGCACGGAAGUAUUAGACUAAAAAAAUUUACGAUUUUGCCAUUUUCUUACCAAAAAGCCAAAAAUCAGGAUUUUAACAAACUUGAUAAUACUCACAAUAUAUAUUUAGUUAUUAAAUGAGGUUCUUAGGGUUCUUAAUCUUUUGUGGUUCUCAUUUGAACCACUC